UACGUAGGUGGCAAGCGUUGUCCGGAUUUAUUGGGUUUAAAGGGUGCGUAGGCGGUCUUGUAAGUCAGUGCUGAAAUAUCCCGGCUUAACCGGGAGGGUGGCAUUGAUACUGCAGGACUUGAGUGGAGUCGAGGUAGGCGGAAUUGACGGUGUAGCGGUGAAAUGCUUAGAUAUCGUCAAGAACACCGAUAGUGUAGACAGCUUACUAGGCUCAAACUGACGCUGAGGCACGAAAGUGUGGGGAUCAAACAGG
rnacentral:misc_RNA from 1 species